CCUACGGGGGGCAGCAGUGAGGAAUAUUGGUCAAUGGACGAGAGUCUGAACCAGCCAAGUAGCGUGAAGGAUGACUGCCCUAUGGGUUGUAAACUUCUUUUAUAUGGGAAUAAAACGUUCCACGUGUGGGAUUUUGUAUGUACCAUAUGAAUAAGGAUCGGCUAACUCCGUGCCAGCAGCCGCGGUAAUACGGAGGAUCCGAGCGUUAUCCGGAUUUAUUGGGUUUAAAGGGAGCGUAGGUGGAUUGUUAAGUCAGUUGUGAAAGUUUGGGGCUCAACCGUAAAAUUGCAGUUGAAACUGGCAGUCUUGAGUACAGUAGAGGUGGGCGGAAUUCGUGGUGUAGCGGUGAAAUGCUUAGAUAUCACGAAGAACUCCGAUUGCGAAGGCAGUUCACUGGACUGCAACUGACACUGAGGCUCGAAAGUGUGGGUAUCAAACAGGAUUAGAUACCCGAGUAGUC
rnacentral:rRNA from 1 species